UACGUAGGGGGCAAGCGUUGUCCGGAAUCAUUGGGCGUAAAGCGCGUGUAGGCGGCUCGGUAAGUCCGCUCUGAAAGUCCAGGGCUCAACCCUGGGAUGCGGGUGGAUACUGCCGGGCUCGAGUCCGGAAGAGGCGAGUGGAAUUCCCGGUGUAGCGGUGAAAUGCGCAGAUAUCGGGAGGAACACCAAUGGCGAAGGCAGCUCGCUGGGACGUGACUGACGCUGAGACGCGAAAGCGUGGGGAGCAACAGG
rnacentral:rRNA from 1 species